AUUGAACGCUGGCGGCAUGCCUUACACAUGCAAGUCGAACGGCAGCACGGGUGCUUGCACCUGGUGGCGAGUGGCGAACGGGUGAGUAAUACAUCGGAACAUGUCCUGUAGUGGGGGAUAGCCCGGCGAAAGCCGGAUUAAUACCGCAUACGAUCUACGGAUGAAAGCGGGGGACCUUCGGGCCUCGCGCUAUAGGGUUGGCCGAUGGCUGAUUAGCUAGUUGGUGGGGUAAAGGCCUACCAAGGCGACGAUCAGUAGCUGGUCUGAGAGGACGACCAGCCACAUUGGGACUGAGACACGGCCCAGACUCCUACGGGAGGCAGCAGUGGGGAAUUUUGGACAAUGGGCGAAAGCCUGAUCCAGCAAUGCCGCGUGUGUGAAGAAGGCCUUCGGGUUGUAAAGCACUUUUGUCCGGAAAGAAAUCCUUGGCCCUAAUACGGUCGGGGGAUGACGGUACCGGAAGAAUAAGCACCGGCUAACUACGUG
rnacentral:rRNA from 1 species